rnacentral:rRNA from 1 species
UAGGUAUCUUCCCUUUGGUGAGGAAUAACACGAGGAAACUUGUGCUAAUACCUCAUAAGUCUUUACGGAGAAAGCUUUAUGCGCCGAAGGAUGAGCCUGCAUUUGAUUAGUUUGUUGGUGGGGUAAUGGCCUACCAAGACUUUGAUCAAUAGCUGAUUUGAGAGGAUGAUCAGCCACAUUGGGACUGAGACACGGCCCAAACUCCUACGGGAGGCAGCAGUGGGGAAUCUUGCACAUGGAGGAAACUCUGAUGCAGCGAUGCCGCGUGAGUGAAGAAGGCCUUUGGGUUGUAAAGCUCUUUCGUCGGGGAAGAAAAUGACUGUACCCGAAUAAGAAGGUCCGGCUAACUUCGUGCCAGCAGCCGCGGUAAUACGAAGGGACCUAGCGUAGUUCGGAAUUACUGGGCUUAAAGAGUUCGUAGGUGGUUGAAAAAGUUGGUGGUGAAAUCCCAGAGCUUAACUCUGGAACUGCCAUCAAAACUUUUCAGCUAGAGUUUGAUAGAGGAAAGCAGAAUUUCUAGUGUAGAGGUGAAAUUCGUAGAUAUUAGAAAGAAUACCAAUUGCGAAGGCAGCUUUCUGGAUCAUUACUGACACUGAGGAACGAAAGCAUGGGUAGCGAAGAGGAUUAGAUACCCUCGUAGUCCAUGCCGUAAACGAUGUGUGUUAGACGUUGGA